GAUGAACGCUGGCGGCGUGCCUAAUACAUGCAAGUCGAGCGAACAGACUAGGAGCUUGCUCCUCUGACGUUAGCGGCGGACGGGUGAGUAACACGUGGAUAACCUACCUAUAAGACUGGGAUAACUUCGGGAAACCGGAGCUAAUACCGGAUAAUAUAUUGAACCGCAUGGUUCAAUAGUGAAAGACGGUUUUGCUGUCACUUAUAGAUGGAUCCGCGCCGCAUUAGCUAGUUGGUAAGGUAACGGCUUACCAAGGCAACGAUGCGUAGCCGACCUGAGAGGGGGUUCGCCCACAGGAGAACUGAGACAGGCCCCGGACCCCGGCGGGGGGAAGCAUGGGGGAUCCUUCCAGAAGGGGCGAAGGCCGGCCGGAGCAACGCCGGGUGAGUGUGAAAGUUCUUCGUAUCCAAAAACUUGUUUAUGAGGAAAAAAAAAGUGUGUAAUAAACUUUGCCCUUCUUGCCGUUACCUAAUAAAAAGCCCCCGGCUACUUCCGGC
rnacentral:rRNA from 1 species